UACGUAGGGAGCGAGCGUUGUCCGGAUUCAUUGGGCGUAAAGAGCUCGUAGGCGGCUUGUCACGUCGAUUGUGAAAGCCCGAGGCUUAACCUCGGGUCUGCAGUCGAUACGGGCUAGCUAGAGUGUGGUAGGGGAGAUCGGAAUUCCUGGUGUAGCGGUGAAAUGCGCAGAUAUCAGGAGGAACACCGGUGGCGAAGGCGGAUCUCUGGGCCAUUACUGACGCUGAGGAGCGAAAGCGUGGGGAGCGAACAGG
rnacentral:rRNA from 1 species